rnacentral:rRNA from 1 species
AGCAGCCGCGGUAAUUCCAGCUCCAAUAGCGUAUAUUAAAGUUGUUGCAGUUAAAAAGCUCGUAGUUGAAUUUUGGAUUCUGCCUAUUGGUCCGUCUUUUAGACGAGCACUGGUGGUGUAGGGUCUAUCUGCCUGAUGAUACGUAAUGUCCUUUAUUGGGUGUUGCGGGUAGUCAGGACCUUUACCUUGAAAAAAUUAGAGUGUUUAAAGCAGGCUUAUGCCGGAAUACAUUAGCAUGGAAUAAUAGAAUAGGACGAAGUUGUUUUAUUUUGUUGGUUUCUAGGACAACCGUAAUGAUUAAUAGGGAUAGUUGGGGGCAUUAGUAUUCAAUUGUCAGAGGUGAAAUUCUUGGAUUUAUUGAAGACUAACUACUGCGAAAGCAUUUGCCAAGGAUGUUUUCAUUAAUCAAGAACGAAAGUUAGGGGAUCGAAGACGAUCAGAUACCGUCGUAGUCUUAACCAUAAACUAUGCCGACUAGGGAUCGGGCGAUGUUGUUUCCAUGACUCGCUCGGCACCUUAU